rnacentral:tRNA from 1 species
GCUGGCGUAGCUCAACAGGUAGAGCAGCUGACUUGUAAUCAGCAGGUCGCGGGUUCGAGUCCCAUCGCCAGCU